rnacentral:tRNA from 1 species
GUGGGCGUAGCUCAGUCGGUUAGAGCGUCAGUUUGUGGCACUGAAGGCCGGGGGUUCGAUUCCCCUCGCUCACCCCA